UGGACAUCACCAUGAAUCAAAGGCUGUGCCUUAGCAUAAUUGACUCUGUAACAGAGAGCAGAGCUCUGCAAGCUUCCAGUGAGGCUCCUUCUGGGUAAAAGUCUGCAACGAGAGAAGUUGCCUUGCCACCCCUCACCAGCACUUCCUCUGCGGGGCUCCUGCCCUUCCUCACCUCCCUGCUGGCUGCCCACACGCCCUGGUGGAACCGUCAGGCAUUUUGCACCUUAACGUGAAGACAUUUCAUGGUCCUCCCCAGACCCGCCUGCACUAAAGCUCCCAAUGCAGCUGCUGUCUGCAGACCCCCUGUACUGCCCAGGGAAGUGAG